AUGCCAACGGCGCCGACGCCCCGCCUCAGACCGAAGCGGGCCACGGCGCCCCUCGAUGCGGCCGCGAGAGCCCGCCUCGCCGCUCUCCCCAGAAGCGACGACAGCAGCGGCAGCGAGCACCAGGCGGCCGCACUCUCCAGCCUCGUCAACGAUUACCUCCUCGAGACGGACACGACAGUCCCGUCGGCCACCCUCGCGGUGGAAGGCUCCUCUGGUCUGGAUGACGAGCCUAACGGCCACACCAGCUCAACGGCGGCGGCCGACAUACUUGCGGAGAUCAAGGACAAUCUUGACCCGACCGGUAGCAGUGCUGACGAGCUACGCCGCCGGCUCGUCUUUGCCGUGGCGGAUGCCAUGCGCGGGUUGGAUGAUCUGCGGCCGAACCAGUCGGCUUUCCGGCGCGCCGUGAUGUCCCGCCUGCGCGAGCGUGGCCACGACGCCGGCCUGUGCAAGGUGCGUUGGGACAAGUCGAGUGGCGUGACCGCCGGGAGCUACGAAUACAUCGACGUCAUCGCUGGCGGGGGUGAAACAAGGUACAUCGUGGAUGUCGGCUUCGCGGCGGAGUUUGAGGUCGCACGGUCGACCGAGGAGUACGAGGCAGUUCGGACGGCACUACCGGAAGUGCUGAUCGCGCGCCCGGAGCACCUCAGGCAGGUUGUGAAGCUUGCAGCGUCCGCAUCACGGCGCUCGCUCAAGAGCAGCGGCCUCAGUGUGCCGCCCUGGAGGAAGAGGCGGUUCAUGAUGACCAAAUGGCUAGGGCCCUACAAGCGGACGGUUAACUCUAUUCCGGCAUCAGCGGGUACGGCAUUAGGCGGCAGUGGUGUGGUGGCCGUCUGCCGGACCAUAGUUGGCUUCGCCCCUCAGACUACAGUGGGGACGUCGUCAGGCUUUUGGGGGUGA
rnacentral:rRNA from 1 species